ensembl:lncRNA novel transcript, sense intronic to ALDH1A2
UCCCAAAGUGCUAGGAUUACAGGCAUGAGCCACGGUGUCCGGCCUAUUGUGUAACUUUUUAAAUUAAAAAUGACAGCAUAAUAUGUCAAACAAGAGAUAACACCUUGUCAUGUUAGUACCUACAUCUCCGGCAUUUAUUUUUAACAGCUGCAUAGAAUACUCUUGCAUCAGUAUAUCAUCAUUUAAUCCUGUAUUAAUGUACACUUGAGGGUGGUUUUUCCACUAAUUUUUCCUAUUAAACAGACUGCUGAAAUAAAAACCUUUGGAGACCCAAGAAAAAUUUUACUUGUAAAUCUGUAACUGUAUACACAUAUGUAUAUACGUAUACACACACGUAUAUGUGUACAUAUUAGAUGCUCAGUUGGAUAUGGUUCUAGAAGUGGAAUUGCAAAAUAAAAACAUAUUUACAACUUGCUUACC